AAGUAGGGAAGAAUGCUGCGCUUCUAGUGAAUAUAGGGUUCUUCACGAUCGUCAUAUUCAAAACGACACAACAGCGCCUCCGAACUU